GUAAGGAAUAUUGGACAAUGGGCGCAAGCCUGAUCCAGCCAUGCCGCGUGAGUGAUGAAGGCCCUAGGGUUGUAAAGCUCUUUCACCGGUGAAGAUAAUGACGGUAACCGGAGAAGAAGCCCCGGCUAACUUCGUGCCAGCAGCCGCGGUAAUACGAAGGGGGCUAGCGUUGUUCGGAAUUACUGGGCGUAAAGCGCACGUAGGCGGACAUUUAAGUCAGGGGUGAAAUCCCGGGGCUCAACCCCGGAACUGCCUUUGAUACUGGGUGUCUGGAGUAUGGAAGAGGUAAGUGGAAUUCCGAGUGUAGAGGUGAAAUUCGUAGAUAUUCGGAGGAACACCAGUGGCGAAGGCGGCUUACUGGUCCAUUACUGACGCUGAGGUGCGAAAGCGUGGGGAGCAAACAGGAUUAGAUACCCGGGUAGUCC
rnacentral:rRNA from 1 species